rnacentral:rRNA from 1 species
AACGAACGCUGGCGGCAUGCCUAACACAUGCAAGUCGAGCGAGACCUUCGGGUCUAGUGGCGCACGGGUGCGUAACGCGUGGGAACCUGCCCUUAGGUUCGGAAUAACUCCCCGAAAGGGGUGCUAAUACCGGAUAAUGUCUUCGGACCAAAGAUUUAUCGCCUUUGGAUGGGCCCGCGUUGGAUUAGCUAGUUGGUAGGGUAAAAGCCUACCAAGGCGACGAUCCAUAGCUGGUCUGAGAGGAUGAUCAGCCACACUGGGACUGAGACACGGCCCAGACUCCUACGGGAGGCAGCAGUGGGGAAUGGUGGAAUAUGGGCGAAAGACUGAUCAAGCAAUGCCGCGUGAGUGAUGAAGGCCUUAGGGGUGGAAAGCUCUUCUACCCGGGAUGAUAAUGACAGUACCGGGAAAAUAAGCUACGGCUAACUCCGUC